GACGAACGCUGGCGGCGUGCUUAACACAUGCAAGUCGAGCGAUGAAGUUCCCUUCGGGGAACGGAUUAGCGGCGGACGGGUGAGUAACACGUGGGUAACCUGCCUCAUAGAGAGGGAUAGCCUUCCGAAAGGAAGAUUAAUACCUCAUAACAUCAUUCUUUCGCAUGUUAGAAUGAUCAAAGGAGCAAUCCGCUAUGAGAUGGGACCCGCGGCGCAUUAGCUAGUUGUGGGUAACGGCCUACCAAGGCGACGAUGCGUAGCCGACCUGAGAGGUGAUCGGCCACAUUGGGACUGAGACACGGGCCCAGACUCCUACGGGAGGCAGCAGUGGGGAA
rnacentral:rRNA from 1 species